rnacentral:rRNA from 1 species
UGGGGAAUCUUCCGCAAUGGACGAAAGUCUGACGGAGCGACGCCGCGUGAGUGAAGAAGGCCUUCGGGUCGUAAAGCUCUGUCAUCAGGGACGAACGGCCGGUGGAGUGGAAAGCCACCGGAUUGACGGUACCUGAGAAGGAAGCCACGGCUAACUACGUGCCAGCAGCCGCGGUAAUACGUAGGUGGCAAGCGUUGUCCGGAAUUAUUGGGCGUAAAGCGCGCGCAGGUGGGAUCUUAAGUCCAUUUUGAAAGUUCGGAGCUCAACUCCGUGAUGGGAUGGAAACUGGGAUUCUUGAGUACCGGAGAGGAAAGCGGAAUUCCCCGUGUAGCGGUGAAAUGCGUAGAUAUGGGGAGGAACACCAGUGGCGAAGGCGGCGUUCUGGACGGUGUCUGACACUGAGGCGCGAAAGCCAGGGGAGCGGACG